AUUUGAGGACCAGAUGGAAGGUAUAUCCACAGACUCCUUCUUGACACAGCACAUAGCCAGAUGAUCAGAGCAGGCCCAUGAGAAAAGAAAGGCAUUUGCUCAUCACACCUGGGAGGGUGUAUACAAUUGAGACAUGCAGGGCUCACCUAUAGAAGGAACAGAGUGAGGAAAGGCACAGUGCUGGGGAGACACUGAAUGUGUAUGACGAAGGAAUCUCAGCCAACUCAGAAGGAUAGAGAGAAAAUUUUGAGGAUGGGAUCGCUGAAACUCUGCCCUGAUGAAAUACUGGGAAAACUGGCA